rnacentral:tRNA from 1 species
CUCCCAUUGGUCUAGCGGUUAUGACUCCUGAUUUCCACUCAGGCAGCCUCGGUUCGAUUCCGAGAUGGGGGUCCA